GAGUGUUUCGGGGCAGUAAACUAUAUACUGACAAUAAUAUUAUCAGUAAAAGUACAGUUUUUAUUUGAAAAAUUAAGAAGAAAAAAAAACACUAAGUUUGGCUAGCGUUUAUGCCCAAGUGGCUACUACAAAAGACUGGGCAUACCCCAUUUUGAAUACCCUGGGAUGUCUACUUAUUCAAAUGGUAUGCCAUGAUGUGGUAACUUACAUUUCUUGGCUGCCAUACAGUCUCAAAGGCAACCUAGGCCCAGC